GUUUGUGCAUGAUGGGGACUUCUCUUCUGAUACUGCCACUUGGUCAUGAUGAGGUUAGCCCACGUGUGAAGUCUGCCACCUCAUGGGUUCUAUUGGUCCUGUAUGCGGAGGAUGUUGGGUCUGGAUCUGACCACAUGUGCGAGGAAGCAUUUAGACACCAUCCAGCCACGUCCUGUGCUACGGAGCGAAGUGGAAGAAACAGCCCUUGACACCGGCCUUGAAGUUGACGUGACUGAUCUCACAGCUUUUAUGACUUAUCAAAGUACUACACCUUGAUCUUGAAGGAAGCAAAGAGAGCAAAGGGGAAGAAUGAAAAGAAAUCAGAAGAGAUGAGGGAGACAAAGGACUGACCACAGAGUGGUGAAGACAUAACAGUAAAGGAAAAAAGGACGUAUGUGAAAAAGAGAGAAAGACUGAGACAGAAUGAAAAAUAAGAAUGAAAGGAAGAAAAAAGAAAACAAAGACAGAAGAGAAAGAGUGAGAUGUGGGCCAUUCAUAAGCAGACUUCUCCAAGAGAUCUUGGGCCAGCACACCUGCUACUAUUCACUUCAGAGGAAAUAGACACUCUGUGGAAGAGAGGCUCUUGGCCUCAGGACAAAACCGCUGCAGCGCCAAAUUAGAAACAGGAAGGACUGUGGGUAAGGCUCAGAUUAAAAACGCACUCCCCACAUGGACUCAAUAUACUGCAGCCCUGAUCCCGCUCUGGAAACCCAAAACCCAACAGCACUAUUUUAUGUCCCAGUCAACAGAACGCCCGCAGUUUGCACAGUGACAGUAUAGAGAUUCAGUCCAAUGUCAACCCCCGAAUGUUGGUAAACUGUGGCCCUCUAAAUGCUGACCAUUCUAAUGAGGAAAAGAAGUUUCUAAGUAUAUUUUAUCAAUUUCCACAGUCAUAACUAUGGAUUCUUAUAUCCAAUAAUAGUGCAUCGCAACUGCAUUUCUUUUUUAUGAAGACUUCUUUGUUCAGACAGUAUACUUUGUGUGUCCAGUCAUGAAGAAAUUAUGUGGAUGUCAAAUAAAACCAGAGUGGCCUGAGUCUUCAUUUUCUCUCGCACGGCCUCUUUUUGGUCUACACCAUCUAUCAGCACCAGAACCAGAUGAAUGUGACGCACAUGCACACACCAAAAGAGAGGCUACGGCACUGAGUUUCCCACAGACGACCAUUAGAGCAGCUAAUGUUGUCAACAGGCAGCUAGCAAGAACUAAUGAUCCAUAACACACUCUAUAAAGGAGUGAAACUAGCAAGAGGUCUGCGAAUGUACCAGAAAAGGAAAUGAAUAUUGAUAUAUGCCUGCUGCCUUCCACUUGUGACCCUUGACCUCUAACGGGUUUCUCCUCUACUGACGGGAACUGUAAGGCAUUUCCUGCCCGUUCACGUACAUACACAUUCAAUCUGAGGGAGAAAGGAGAAAAAAAGAGAAAAGGUUGGU